rnacentral:sRNA from 1 species
GUUUUCCUCCAAGGAGCCUCGGACGUUGUCACGGGUUUGGGGUCGGGGACAGAGCGGUGACCAUGGCCAGGCUGGCGUUGUCUCCUGUGCCCAGCCACUGGAUGGUGGCGUUGCUGCUGCUGCUCUCAGGUACAGCACCCACGACGAGGCCUGUGGGGUUUGCUCUCAUCUCCAGCUGUCUGGGCCCUGCGGCUCUGCCUCCUGCUUGCUCCACCCUCCUCCUCUGUCUCUCACUCUUUACCGCCUGUCUCCCUCUCAUGGCCCUGGGUCCUGGGUCUGUGGGUGUCAGCUGCACGUGGUGAUGGGCUCAGGAGCCUGUGGCCCCAGUUCCUCUCCUGCCUGGAGAGCAUCAGGCUGAGCUGGGCAUGAGGAGCAAACCAGAGUUAGCAACCAGGACCGUGGAAGAACUAGGCUCAGGAGGAAGAGAGGCUGA